rnacentral:rRNA from 1 species
CAAUAUGCCGGAUUAGUGGCGAACGGGUGAGUAACACGUGACCAAUCUGCCCCGGUCCGGGGGAUAACGGAGGGAAACUUCCGCUAAUACCGCAUAUUGAGCGCGGACUGCAUAGUCUGCGCUUGAAAGCUCCGGCGGUCCGGGAUGAGGUCGCGUCCCAUUAGCUUGUUGGCGGGGUAACAGCCCACCAAGGCGACGAUGGGUAGCUGGUCUGAGAGGAUGAUCAGCCACACUGGGACUGAGAUACGGCCCAGACUCCUAUGGGAGGCAGCAGUGAGGAAUAUUGCGCAAUGGGCGAAAGCCUGACGCAGCAACGCCGCGUGGGGGAUGAAGGUGGUUUCCAUUGUAAACCCCUGUAGGGAGGGACGAAACGCCGGCUCUGCCGGCACUGACGGUACCUCCAAAGUAAGCACCGGCUAACUCCGUGCCAGCAGCCGCGGUAAUACGGAGGGUGCAAGCGUUGUCCGGAUUCACUGGGUGUAAAGGGCGCGUAGGCGGGAUGGCAUGUCGGAAGUGAAAUCGUGCGGCUUAACCGUAGCAAUGGCUUCCGAAACUGCUGUUCUUGAAUGCGGGAGAGGCAGAUGGAAUUCCUGGUGUAGCGGUGGAAUGCGUAGAUAUCAGGAAGAACACCGGCGGCGAAGGCGGUCUGCUGGCCCGUGAUUGACGCUGAGGCGCGAAAGUGCGGGGAGCAAACAGGAUUAGAUACCCUGGUAGUCCGCACCGUAAACGAUGGUCACUAGUCGUCGGAGGAUUCGA